rnacentral:rRNA from 1 species
CCUACGGGAGGCAGCAGUGAGGAAUAUUGGUCAAUGGACGAGAGUCUGAACCAGCCAAGUCGCGUGAAGGAUGACUGCCCUAUGGGUUGUAAACUUCUUUUAUAUGGGAAUAAAAUGUUCCACGUGUGGGAUUUUGUAUGUACCAUAUGAAUAAGGAUCGGCUAACUCCGUGCCAGCAGCCGCGGUAAUACGGAGGAUCCGAGCGUUAUCCGGAUUUAUUGGGUUUAAAGGGAGCGUAGGUGGAUUGUUAAGUCAGUUGUGAAAGUUUGCGGCUCAACCGUAUAAUUGCAGUUGAAACUGGCAGGCUUGAGUACAGUAGAGGUAGGCGGAAUUCGUGGUGUAGCGGUGAAAUGCUUAGAUAUCACGAAGAACUCCGAUUGCGAAGGCAGCUCACUGGACUGCAACUGACACUGAGGCUCGAAAGUGUGGGUAUCAAACAGGAUUAGAUACCCCAGUAGUC